GGAGGGUUGGCAGAGCGGUCUAAUGCGCCGGUUUCGAAAACCGGUUUCCCGGAAACGGGAUCACAGGUUCAAAUCCUGUACCCUCCG
rnacentral:tRNA from 1 species